rnacentral:rRNA from 1 species
AUUGAACGCUGGCGGCAGGCCUAACACAUGCAAGUCGAACGAGUGGCGGACGGGUGAGUAAUGUCUGGGAAACUGCCUGAUGGAGGGGGAUAACUACUGGAAACGGUAGCUAAUACCGCAUACUAUCGGAUGUGCCCAGAUGGGAUUAGCUAGUGGGGGGGGUAAAGGCUCACCUGGGCGACGAUCCCUAGCUGGUCUGAGAGGACGACCAGCCACACGGGAACGGAGACACGGUCCAGACUCCUACGGGAGGCAGCAGUGGGGAAUAUUGCACAAUGGGGGAAAGCCUGAUGCAGCCAUGCCGCGUGUAUGAAGAAGGCCUUCGGGUUGUAAAGUACUUUCAGCGGGGAGGCGGUACCCGCAGAAGAAGCACCGGCUAACUCCGUGCCAGCAGCCGCGGUAAUUC